GACGAACGCUGGCGGCGUGCUUAACACAUGCAAGUCGAACGGAAAGGCCCUGCUUGCGUGGGGUGCGCGAGGGGCGAACGGGUGAGUAACACGUGAGUAACCUGCCCUUGACUUUGGGAGAACUUCAGGAAAGUGGGGCUAAUACCGGAUAGGAGCUCCUGCUGCAUGGUGGGGGUUGGAAAGUUUCGGCGGUUGGGGAUGGACUCCCGGCCUUUCAGCUGGUGGGGGGGUUAGUGGCUUACCAAGGCUUUGACGGGUAGCCGGCCUGAGAGGGUGACCGGCCCCAUUGGGACUGAGAUACGGCCCAGACUCCUACGGGAGGCAGCAGUGGGGAAUAUUGCACAAUGGGCGCAAGCCUGAUGCAGCAACGCCGCGUGCGGGAUGACGGCCUUCGGGUUGUAAACCGCUUUCGCAUGUGACGAAGCGUGAGUGACGGUAAUGGGUAAAGAAGCACCGGCUAACUACGUG
rnacentral:rRNA from 1 species